GCCUAACCAUGCAAGUCGAACGGAGAAUCAGCAAUGGUUCUUAGUGGCGAACGGGUGAGUAACGCGUAGACAACCUGCCUCAAAGAUGGGGACAACACCGCGAAAGUGGUGCUAAUACCGAAUGUUGCAUUGGAUUCGCAUGAAUCUGAUACUAAAGGUGGCCUCUUUAAAUGCUACCGCUUUGAGAUGGGUCUGCGUCUGAUUAGCUAGUUGGUGAGGUAACAGCUCACCAAGGCGAUGAUCAGUAGCCGGUCUGAGAGGAUGAACGGCCACACUGGGACUGAGACACGGCCCAGACUCCUACGGGAGGCAGCAGUGGGGAAUCUUCCGCAAUGGACGAAAGUCUGACGGAGCAACGCCGCGUGAGUGAAGAAGGUUUUCGGAUCGUAAAGCUCUGUCUUUGAGGACGAAUGUGCUUAAUGUAAAUAAUGUUAAGUAAUGACGGUACUCGAGGAGGAAGCCACGGCUAACUACGUGCCAGCAGCCGCGGUAAUACGUAGGUGGCAAGCGUUGUCCGGAAUUAUUGGGCGUAAAGCGCGCGCAGGCGGGAUAUUAAGUCUGUCUUAAAAGUUCGGGGCUCAACCCCGUGAUGGGAUGGAAACUAAUAUUCUUGAGUGCGGGAGAGGAAAGUGGAAUUCCCAGUGUAGCGGUGAAAUGCGUAGAUAUUGGGAGGAACACCAGUGGCGAAGGCGACUUUCUGGACUGUGUCUGACGCUGAGGCGCGAAAGCCAGGGGAGUGAACGGGAUUAGAUACCCCGGUAAUCCUGGCCGUAAACGAUGGGUACUAGGUGUAGGAGGUAUCGACCCCUUCUGUGCCGGAGUUAACGCAAUAAGUACCCCGCCUGGGGAGUACGGCCGCAAGGUUGAAACUCAAGGAAUUGACGGGGGCCCGCACAAGCGGUGGAGUAUGUGGUUUAAUUCGACGCAACGCGAAGAACCUUACCAGGACUUGACAUCGAUUGAAAGUUCUAGAGAUAGAACCCUUCUCUUCGGAGAACAAGAAGACAGGUGGUGCAUGGCUGUCGUCAGCCUCG
rnacentral:rRNA from 1 species